AGUCGUACGCUUCUUUUUCCACCGGAGCUUGCUCCACCGGGAAAAGAGGAGUGGCGAACGGGUGAGUAACACGUGGGUAACCUGCCCAUCAGAAGGGGAUAACACUUGGAAACAGGUGCUAAUACCGUAUAACAAUCGAAACCGCAUGGUUUUGAUUUGAAAGGCGCUUUCGGGUGUCACUGAUGGAUGGACCCGCGGUGCAUUAGCUAGUUGGUGAGGUAACGGCUCACCAAGGCCACGAUGCAUAGCCGACCUGAGAGGGUGAUCGGCCACAUUGGGACUGAGACACGGCCCAAACUCCUACGGGAGGCAGCAGUAGGGAAUCUUCGGCAAUGGACGAAAGUCUGACCGAGCAACGCCGCGUGAGUGAAGAAGGUUUUCGGAUCGUAAAACUCUGUUGUUAGAGAAGAACAAGGAUGAGAGUAACUGUUCAUCCCUUGACGGUAUCUAACCAGAAAGCCACGGCUAACUACGUGCCAGCAGCCGCGGUAAUACGUAGGUGGCAAGCGUUGUCCGGAUUUAUUGGGCGUAAAGCGAGCGCAGGCGGUUUCUUAAGUCUGAUGUGAAAGCCCCCGGCUCAACCGGGGAGGGUCAUUGGAAACUGGGAGACUUGAGUGCAGA
rnacentral:rRNA from 1 species